GAUGAACGCUAGCUACAGGCUUAACACAUGCAAGUCGAGGGGUAACGAGAGGAAAGCUUGCUUUCCUUGUCGACGACCGGCGCACGGGUGAGUAACGCGUAUCCAACCUGCCCCCAACUAGGGAAUAACCUUGCGAAAGUAAGACUAAUACCCUAUAAUUUCCUCAGAUGUCAUCUGACGAGGAAUAAAGAUUUAUCGGUUGUGGAUGGGGAUGCGUCUGAUUAGCUUGUUGGCGGGGUAACGGCCCACCAAGGCAACGAUCAGUAGGGGUUCUGAGAGGAAGGUCCCCCACAUUGGAACUGAGACACGGUCCAAACUCCUACGGGAGGCAGCAGUAAGGAAUAUUGGUCAAUGGACGCAAGUCUGAACCAGCCAUGCCGCGUGAAGGAUGACGGUCCUCUGGAUUGUAAACUUCUUUUAUCGAAGACGAAAUGCAUUUUUUCUAAAGUGUUUGACGGUACUCGAUGAAUAAGCACCGGCUAACUCCGUGCCAGCCGCCGCAGUAA
rnacentral:rRNA from 1 species